CGCAGGGUUACCGUGAAAUUCAAGUGGCCGCGGGAUUAUUCCUCCUGGGAAGGCGGGGACCCAGCCUCGCCCCUGGGCUUGAGCCUGCGACUCUGCGCCUCGGUUUCCCUGAGCUGCUGCAAGGGGACCGGAUGACAGAAGAGAUCCUGCAAACCCGACGACCGAGUCUCAGACCUGCGGGGCCCCUACCUUCCCACGACACACCCUCUGCCCCCCAAGAGCCUCUCCCCAAGAUCUGUCCUCAGGAAUCCAGGCCUGGCAAGUUGGUCCGGACACCUGCUGAGUGACCUACCCACCAGCCGCUGACCUUGAAGGCACCCAUUUAUUAAUCCAGGGUACAAGGCCACACCUCAGCUUGGAUCGUGGCAGGGUGGCCCUGCGGGUCGUCCCCUUCCUACUCACUGCAGACUCCGGAGUCGUACCUGUGCCCAGUCAGCUCAGCGCAGGAUUCUGCUCCUGGGACCAUGAGUUCAAAGCCAGCCUCAGCAACUUAGCGAGGCCCUAAGCAACUCAGCCAGACCCUGUCUCUAAGUAAAAUACAAAAAGGGCUGGGGAGUGGCUCAGGGGUCACGUGCCCCUGGGUUCAGU